rnacentral:rRNA from 1 species
AUACGUAGGUGGCAAGCGUUGUCCGGAAUUAUUGGGCGUAAAGCGCAUGUAGGCGGUGCCUUAAGUCUGUCGUGAAACUGCGGGGCCUAACCCCGUAUGGCGAUGGAAACUGUGGCACUUGAGUGCAGGAGAGGAAAGGGGAACUCCCAGGGUAGCGGUGAAAUGCGUAGAUAUUGGGAAGAACACCGGUGGCGAAGGCGCCGUUCUGGACUGUGUCUGCCGCUGGGAUGCGAAAGCCAGGGUAGCGAACGGGAUUAGAUACCCCGGUAGUCCUGGCCGUAAACGAUGGGUACUAGGUGUGGGAGGUAUCGACCCCUUCCGUGCCGGAGUUAACGCAAUAAGUACCCCGCCUGGGGAGUACGGCCGCAAGGCUUAAACUCAAAUGAAUUGACGGGG